AUUUCUGACAGGUCUGACCCAGAAAGUUCAAUCUCUGAUCUGCUGAGCAGCACUAGGGAUGGGCUCCUACGAGGCUCAUCCCCAAGACUGCUCCCUGGCACAAUUUGCUGCCAGUAGCAGAUACUGGUACCUAGAUAAUCCUUUUUGCUAUGCUGUCAGAAUUUCCUACAUCCCACUCACCUUUCCCCAGAUAGCAGAUAGCAAAUUCUCACAGAGCGGGGUCUGCCUGUCACAAGUUGCUGCCCUUCACCUUUGUCCAUCUCCUGGCCCUCAUAAUGUGGUGCUGGGGGCUGGCAAUAGCCACUGGGUGCCAUAAUACGCAGACACACGGCGGGACUAAGAGACAGUGCCAUUGUUAGUUUGGUGGGGUACCAUAGAUUUCAAGUCCACAUGCAUCUGCAGGGCCUCCAGCUGCCAUUAACUGUGUUCAGUGUCGCUGGACUGAAUGGAGGAAUUAGCUGGAUCAGCUUGGCAAAGAAGGGAUUUGGACACAGAUCUGCCGUCUCCCAUGAACAACAGACCUCCUUCCGCUGGGCAAGGGGGAAGCAUUUUGCGGGUUAAACAUCCAACACAUGGCAUAGCUGGCAUGUUUAUUGUAACAGCAGAUAGGGAAAGAGGAAAAGCAACAGAGAAAGUCCUUUGGCUCACAGGGUGAUCUGUGCCCUGAGCCUUUAGCUCCCUUUUACAGCUUCAAGCAAUCACUCUAAUGGGACGUAACUAGCCCAAAGGAGGACAGAGUCAUUUCAUGAUGCAUAGCGAUAACCUCUUGGGUUCAGACCAAAUAUUGCAAAAGUCCAUUAAUUUUGCAGUGCUGUUUGUGCUUCAGGUGUUAAAUUCUCUUCUCUAAGGGGCAGACAAUACUCUAUUUUGGCACGACACACACUGCAACAGCUGGCAGGAUGGGGGUGUUUUCCUGCCACUCCUGAACCAGCUGUGGGGGCACCAUCUUACUAAAUAGCAGCACUACAAAUCUUCCUGGUUCACCCAUUGCCUUUUUGAACAAGACCCUUCCCUGCCUCUCUGGAACACUCCUCAAGGUAAAAUCCUCCAAUAUGAGAACACCUAAACUCCCUCCCAGAUACUGUACCCCAAACCUCCUGCUGCACCUCAACCCCUGUCCUGUCCCUGGCCCCACCCCGGAGUCCAUCCCACUAGCUGGAGCUGC